UUCAUAUGCAUGUUCAAGCAUGACGAAUGCCUUAGUAUGUCCCUGGUAACCAAAAAAUGUUGGUACGUUGGGAACAUCCAUAUACAGAUGACGGGACAAUUUCUUCAGGAGGUUUUUGCAAGCUAAAGUUGUGAAAAAGCAGUCGUUUGAAACUCAUUAAGUGAAUAAAGAGGAUCAUGAAAGAAAAAAAGUUGACUUUGAAGCUAUACGACAAGAUAUUGAUAUCCAACGACAAGACUUGGAAGAUCUGUGUGGAAAUGUUACGAAACAACUACAAGUUGAAGAUCAAGAUGCGUAGAAUGUUUUAGUUACUCUUUAUUAUUGUAAUUGACACUUUGGUAUUGACUUUUUUUGUUAUUUGAGUUUGGAAAAGUAUGUUAAGGUACACUAUUUGACUAGCAAUGA